rnacentral:rRNA from 1 species
AGCUCCUACGGGGGGCAGCAGUAGGGAAUCUUCCACAAUGGACGAAAGUCUGAUGGAGCAACGCCGCGUGAGUGAAGAAGGGUUUCGGCUCGUAAAGCUUUGUUGGUAGUGAAGAAAGAUAGAGGUAGUAACUGGCCUUUAUUUGACGGUAAUUACUUAGAAAGUCACGGCUAACUACGUGCCAGCAGCCGCGGUAAUACUGAGGGGGCAAGCGUUGUCCGGGUUUAUUGGGCGGAAAGCGAGUGCAGGCGGUU